CGGGGUGUAGUAUACCGGUAGUACGUCUGCUUUGGGAGCAGAUAGACCGAGUUCGAUUCUCGGCACCCCGACAA
rnacentral:tRNA from 2 species